rnacentral:rRNA from 1 species
CCUACGGGAGGCAGCAGUAGGGAAUAUUGCACAAUGGGGGAAACCCUGAUGCAGCAACGCCGCGUGGGGGAAGAAGGUUUUCGGAAUGUAAAGCCCUAUUGGUAGAGAAGAAAAUGACGGUACCUGACGAAUAAGCACCAGCUAACUACGUGCCAGCAGCCGCGGUAAUACGGAGGGGGCAAGCGUUAUCCGGAAUCACUGGGCGUAAAGGGAGCGUAGGCGGGGUGGCAAGUCUGGGGUGAAAUGCUAUGGCUUAACCGCAGAACUGCAUUGGAAACUGGUGAACUAGAGUAAGGGAGGGGUAAGUGGAAUUCUUGGUGUAGCGGUGAAAUGCGUAGAGAUCAAGAGGAACACUCGUGGCGAAGGCGGCCUGCUGGACCUUAACUGACGCUGAGGCGCGAAAGCGUGGGGAGCAAACAGGAUUAGAUACCCUAGUAGUC